rnacentral:rRNA from 1 species
CAGUCGCCGCGGGAAUACAGAGGAUGCAAGCGUUAUCCGGAAUGAUUGGGCGUAAAGCGCACGUAGGCGGCUAUUCAAGUCAGGGGUGAAAGCCCGGGGCUCAACCCCGGAACUGCCUUUGAAACUAGAUGGCUUGAAUCUUGGUGAGGCGAGUGGAAUUCCGAGUGUAGAGGUGAAAUUCGUAGAUAUUCGGAAGAACACCAGUGGCGAAGGCGACUCGCUGGACAAGUAUUGACGCUGAGGUGCGAAAGCGUGGGGAGCAAACAGGAUUAGAUACCCCCGUAGUCCCUGUCUCUUAUAA